rnacentral:lncRNA from 1 species
AAAGAGCAACAAUACAAUGACACGCUUACGUGUCGAUUACACUCAUAUGACACGGGCCACAUCAUUUUUUUAUUUUUUAAAUUGUUUAGUGACCGAGGGUAAAAAGGGGAGAUAGCUAAAUUUGCUUUUCCUUUUCUUCGUGAAUGAAAAUACCAUCUAGGUUUACAUUAUCUUACUUUCUUCUCUCGUUGUUUCUCCUUCUUCAUUCCUUCCCGUUUUGGUUUUGAGGUGAUUGAAUCGGUGGUUGUAGAGGUUUUUCGUGGAUUUGAAGUUGUAGCAUCAUUGUGCCGCUUUCAAUCGGUCGUUGUGGAGGUUUCCGGUGGUUGUGAGGUUUCCGGUUGGCAUUUCCAUUUUUGUGGCUUAUUUUGUGUGACUUUGAGGUAUGGGUUUUCUAAUUUUUUUCUGUUAUAGUUUGACCCUUUUGAGCAGUUGGGGUGAUGGACUGUAUAACAGUUAGUUUCUGGAAAUUUUAUGUUUAUUCUCUGCAUGUGAAGUUCAAAUGUUUUUAUUAAGGUAGUUUGGAUACAAUGUGGGUUGUUAUUAUUUUGGUUCGAGCCAGAUAAGGGUCUAUAUCUGUUCUCUGGUUGAAUCUGAGUUUGGGUACAUUAGUUUAUUGCUUUGUAAAUUAAUUUGUGUUUCAAAAAAAUUACAAUCUGUGAUGUGCGCUGUUUUGACAAAGGGUGCAAAAUUGCAGAAUAUGGAUUAUGACAAGUAUCUGUAGCAAGGAGGACAAGCUUCAAAACUAUAGCCUUAGAAUAUCUCUAAUACGGAGGUCUUAAAGAAAGGUUUUAUUAAGACCCAAAACUUAUGAGAAAGUCCUACU